rnacentral:rRNA from 1 species
UACGGAGGGAGCUAGCGUUGUUCGGAAAUACUGGGCGUAAAGCGCACGUAGGCGGCGCAGCAAGUCAGGGGUGAAAUCCCGGGGCUCAACCCCGGAACUGCCCUUGAAACUGCAGUGCUAGAAUCUUGGAGAGGUCAGUGGAAUUCCGAGUGUAGAGGUGAAAUUCGUAGAUAUCUGGAGGAACACCGGUGGCGAAGGCGGCAUCCUGGACCAAUUCUGACGCUGAGUGAGCGAAAGCCAGGGGAGCAAACGGG